rnacentral:snoRNA from 1 species
GGCUCAAUGAUUGCUAGCCUUAAUUUGGCAGUAUACGCUAUUCUGAGUAUUACAAUUGGCUGAGAAUUAAUUAUAAUGAGAGCU